GACGUAGGGGGCCAGCGUUGUUCGGAUUCAUUGGGCGUAAAGGGUGCGUAGGUGGCGUCGUAAGUGGGGUGUGAAAUCCCGGGGCUUAACCCCGGGACUGCAUUCCAUACUGCGGUGCUUGAGGACUGGAGAGGAGACUGGAAUUUACGGUGUAGCAGUGAAAUGCGUAGAGAUCGUAAGGAAGACCAGUGGCGAAGGCGGGUCUCUGGACAGUUCCUGACACUGAGGCACGAAGGCCAGGGGAGCAAACGGG
rnacentral:rRNA from 1 species